CCAGAAGUGGCUAGUCUAACCGCAAGGAGGACGGUCACCACGGUAGGAUUCAUGACUGGGGUGAAGUCGUAACAAGGUAGCCGUAUCGGAAGGUGCGGCUGGAUCACCUCCUUU
rnacentral:rRNA from 1 species